rnacentral:rRNA from 1 species
GUGCAGCAGUCGAGAAACCUUUACAAUGCCUUCACGGGCGAUAAGGGGAUCCUGAGUGCUCUAGCAUUGCUAGAGCUUUUCCAGAGUGUAAAAGCUCUGGGAAUAAGUGGUGGGUAAGACGGGUGCCAGCCGCCGCGGUAAUACCCGCGCCACAAGUGGUGACCACGUUUAUGGGUCUAAAGCGUUCGUAGCCGGCUUCAAUAAAUUCUCGGUGAAAUCCUGUGUAAAACAUAGGAAGUGCCGAGAAGACUGUUGAGCUAGGGACCGGGAGAGGCUGAGGGUACUCCAGGGGUAGGGGUUAAAA